rnacentral:rRNA from 1 species
AGCGAACGCUGGCGGCAGGCCUAACACAUGCAAGUCGAACGAACCUUUCGGGGUUAGUGGCGGACGGGUGAGUAACACGUGGGAACGUGCCUUUAGGUUCGGAAUAACUCAGGGAAACUUGUGCUUAUACCGAAUGUGCCCUUCUGGGGAAAGAUUUAUCGCCUUUAGAGCGGCCCGCGUCUGAUUAGCUAGUUGGUUGAGGUAAUGGCUUACCAAGGCUUCGAUCAGUAGCUGGUCUGAGAGGAUGAUCAGCCACAUUGGGACUGAGACACGUCCCCAACUCCUACGGGAGGCAGCAGUGGGGACUCUUGCGCGAUGGGCGAGAGACUGACGCAGCCAUGCCGCGUGAAUGAUGAAGGUCUUAGGAUUGUAAAAUUCUUUCACCGGGGCCGAUAAUGACGGUACCCGGAGAAGAAGCCCCGGCUAACUACGUG